GCCUGGGUGGCUCAGUGGUUGAGUGUCUGCCUUUGGCUCAGGUCGUGAUCCUGGGGUCCUGGGAUCGAGUCCCACAUCAGGCU
rnacentral:tRNA from 1 species